ACCAACGGCCAUGCCUCAGUACGGCGAGUGAGCGGCAAAAGCUCAAAUUUUAAAGCUGGCACCUUCGGUGUCCGCGUUGUAAUUUUGUGAGGCAUCUCCGGGUAGGGCGCCGGCCUAAGUUCCUUGGAACAGGACGUCAUAGAGGGUGAGAAUCCCGUGCUUGGCUGGCUGUCCCCGUCCAUGUGAGGUGUCUUCGACGAGUCGAGUUGUUUGGGAAUGCAGCUCAAAAUGGGUGGUAAAUUUCAUCUAAAGCUAAAUAUUGGUGGGAGACCGAUAGCGCACAAGUAGAGUGAUCGAAAGAUGAAAAGCACUUUGAAAAUAGAGUUAAAAAGUACGUGAAAUUGUUGAAAGGGAAGCGCUUGAGACCAGACUUCGGUGGGGGGUGAUCAGCUGUCCUUCUGGGCGGUGCACUUGCUCCCCUCCGGGCCAGCAUCGGUUGGGGCGGCGGGAUAAAGAUCCCGGGAAUGUGGCUCCUUUCGGGGAGUGUUAUAGCCCGGGUGAAUGCCGCCAGUUCCGACCGAGGACCGCGCCUUCGGGCUAGGAUGCUUGGCAUAAUGGUCUUCAGCGACCCGUCUUGAAACCACGGGACC
rnacentral:rRNA from 1 species